CAGGAGGUCGAGUGUUUGGUGGCUUUGGAACACUGGCGUUGGGGGCCCAGAACAGCCCAGGGAGGCAGGGACGCAGAUCCCCAACGUUCCAAGGCCACGGCCACUCACUUAGCCUUUUAUUAUAUAGGAUAAUUAAGCCUUUCGGAAGUAGGGUUGGUGUGAUAGAUCUAGAUUGAAAAGGCACAGAAGUCUGCUAAGUCAGUGCUUGGUAAAUUCCAACAAGCAAUAGGUGCUCUACUGGAACAAGAACGUGUGUGUGUGUGUGUGUGUGUACACAUACGUGCGUGCGCACACGCACACACACUAAGAGAUUUGUUAGAAAACCUGCUUCUGCAGUUUUCCAACUAAAAUCCAUUACUGGAUGUAUUUUGUAUUAAACUAUGAGCUGGUAAAUGUAGAACCAGCUCCAGAAACCUUUAUACUCAUCUGGGUACUGCUUUCUUCCUCCCACCUGGCUCACUUUCAUGGUGCUGAGCUAAGAGUGUGGGAGAUGUGAUUUAUUUACUAAAUGUUUACUUUCAGUCUGGCAGUCUGCUUACAGUAACUAUUACAACUAUUUAUCUACUGCUUUUCAGCAAAAGUUAUCAAAGCCAUUUGCAUAGAAAAAUAAGAUGGUUUCCUCUCCCCAGAGGUUUCAUAUUCUUAAAAAGAAACAGUCAGUCUUUAUUAAUACAGCCAAUGGCCAGAAUUACAAAAAUAAAAUCAUUUAGAAUUAACAACUUCAUUCCGAAUAACACCACAAAUAUAGCAGAAUUUAGCAACAUUGAGUAAGCUGUCUUCUUUACAAUCCUUUAAAAUUAAAUUUAAAUAAUCCAUUUCAGUUAAUCCUGGAAACAGGAUAAGUUGAGGUGAAAUGUAUUUUUUCCUAAUGUCAUUGUAAAAUUGGCAAUAAAAAAGAACAUGA